CUUAAGUCUUCGAUUUUUAAACUAAAAUUCAUGCCUCAAUAGUAUGUGCAUAUUACCUGUUUGAUAAAAAGCCUGAAUAAUGAAUUACUGAAUAGUACUUAAAUUUUCUGGUGCACAAACUUAUUUUUCGGGCAUUUAUUUUCUAGAUUGAAGGUAAAGAGGUCUUUUAUUUGAAUAACGAAUUUAAUUUUUAUUUUAUUCUUUUUCAAAGAACUACACUUCCUCCUAAAUUUUUUAAUAGCAGGGGUAUUUCCACUGACUUGUUUUUUGUUUCGUUCCACCUCUCUCAAAUGCUUAUAUUGCAACUUUGAUAAUGAUAUAUAGUGGACAUUUGUGUGAAAUAAAGGAAGUUAAGGAAGUCUCUCAUAAUCAAACAUCAAAAGAGUGCCUCAAAAAACUAAAUCAGGGUGAGAUAGCUUUGGCAUUCAGAGAUUUAUUUAGGAAGUUAUGGGCUCCUAAAGCAAGUCUCGUGGCACCAAGAACUUUCAAAUCAAAGCUUGCUAGAUUUGCACCUCAAUUUAGUGGAUUUAAUCAGCAUGAUUCCCAAGAGCUUCUUGCUUUUUUAUUGGAUGGACUUGAUGAAGAUCUGAAUCAUGUAAAAUGAAAGCCUUAUAUCAAAACUUGCUAUUUUUCUCGUUCAUGAGAACUAGUUUGGUCACCUUUUUCUUCCUAAUGGGAAAUAGACAAGGGAGAAUUUAAGAAAGUGAUGGCAUUGAUGUGAUCUCAAAACAGACAAGGGGCUAACCACAGUGAUGGCAUUCUGCUUCCACAUCUCUGAUAAUAGAAGUCUCGUGCAGUUUUACCAUUGCUAUUAUAUAAUAUAUCCAUAUCCCGUUGGAAGAAAACUUUUAUAAUUUCAUUGUGUCUCCUGAUUCUUGAACACUAUGGAACUUGCAUAUUCUAUCGUUCGUAUCUGGUAAAAUGAAGCACUGGGAAAAAAAACCUUUGGAUGAAUGUAUUAAACAUAUUACUUGCAUAUU